ensembl:lncRNA
UUUUCCUUCCACUCUGUGACAUUGAGCAGUACAGAAUGUGAAAUAUUUAUGUUCACUUUCAUUGCAAUAAACGACUGUUUUCAGAGGUAUAACAUUUAAAAUACGUAACGUCGGUACAUGUAUUCUGUUACUCCCCAACACUGGUAAUAAAGAAAACCAGAAACAAUUUGGUGAAUGCAUUUAGGUUUUGGGAAGUUUUGCAUUAGAGAGAUUUGUGUAUGAAAACCUGUAAAUGGAAAGAUGGCAGGAUUUAAUCUUUAGUUCAGUUUCAUUUCCUUUUUAUCAGAAACUGAAAGUGAGUCUUAUUGUCGUACUCUUUCAUUAAGAACAUGACACUUUUUGCCUCCAGCAGGCUUCCUGACCUUGCUUUACGUGUGACUUUCCAUAGCAGUUAUUUUUCUGUUAUCUGGACAAGGCUAUUUUAUUACAUAUUUUAUGUGUUUAAUUGUCACAGAGUUAAAUAUAAGCAUCUUUUGACUAUGCCUAUCUAUCUAAACAGCUCUGGAAGAAGGAUAGUCAUGCAUCAACACCACUUCUUCAUCUCCCCCACCCCCUUUUUUGUUUUCUCAGCUCUGCUUUUCCCUGCACACCCACUUUACUCUGUCUAGGUUUAGCGUUGUGUUAUAUGUAGAGAUCCACUUUCACUUGCCUUUUGCCAAACAGUCAACUACACCUUUUGCAAAACCGAGUCCCAGUUUGUUUUUGGACUUUUACUUUUUGCUAGAUUUUUCUUUUCACCCUGUUCCAGUGUGUGCCUCCCUGCAUUUUUUUUAUUUACUUCUCUUAUUGUCAACUGUCUUUUCUGCAUUACUUUAAACCAAAGCAGCCUUUUCCAGCAUUACUUUCAACAAAAGAGAUCAGUAACAGAGUGAUACAGUGGUGCCCAGCUUGCCGCUACGACAUGUCAAACCCACAGAAUCUACAGCCAGCUCAGGCACUGGCUCACAUGUUGGCCGACAUGGCAGACUUGCAGCAGCAGCAGGCAGUACUGCACCAGCGGCAGACGCAGAUGCUACUAAACCUUUUGCCUCAGUCUGGGGCCGCUGCGAAUCCGCUCCACCUGGAACUCUCUCCAGAAGACCAUCGUCGCCGCUUCCGUGGUUGCCGCAUGGGACCACAAGAAGGGCCUUCGGCUUUUGCCCAGCAGCUGCGGUAUGACGCGGGGAGGUGGCUGCAUCCUGGCAGUGGGGAGGCGCAGCUGCUGGAGGCUGUCGUUCUGGAGCAGUUUGUGGAGGGGCUCCCAAGGGAAAUGGCGGACUGGGUCAAGUGUCGCAAGCCACCCAAUCUGGAGGCGGCAGUGAGGCUGGCUGAAGAACACCUGGCGGCGCGGACGGAAAACCCCAGAAGAUCGCAGCCAGGGGAGGUCCUGGCAGCGACAGGCGCUGUACCUGGCUCAUUGGUGGCUGCACAGACACAGGGACAGGUGCGUGAGCAGUGUGGGGGCCUGGGACAUUUUCAACAGGAAUGCCAGGAGGACGCCAUGGAGGUGCAGCAGGUGUACAGUGUUACCGGGAUGUCUACACCCAACUCUGGUCGAGGAGGGCUGUACAGCGUUCCGUCUCCAGUCGCAGCUCAACACAGCCCGUUCCUCCUGCACUAUCAGGAGCAGGAUCAGCAGAAACUCCUCAACAGCAACAUUGUACCCCAUCAGGAUUUGCCAUCCAUAAGUGAAAAAGGAAAAAGAAAGUCAGAACUUGAGUUCGACGAAUGUCAACCAUCUCCUAAACGACAAGACAACUGUGCAGCAGGAUCACAGUCAGCAAAUUCCAUGGAGACAUCUGGAUUUGUCCAGGACAAACUAACUGAAUGGGGAUUCAGUGAGUUCAUGCAGAGAUUUAAAGAUGAAGGCAUUGACAAGGAGACGUUUCUAAACCUUGGAGAUUCAAUCCGAAUUAAUUUACUGUUUCCUAAAAUUGGACCAAGAGUAAAGUUUAGAAAGAGACUCAAAGAUUACUUACAGAUGGAGACAUGUCAUUUUGUCCAGGAAAAAUUAACUGAAUGGCAUCUCAGUGAGCUGAUUCACAGAUUUGAAGAGGAGGGUAUUGACAAAGAAGCUUUCCUAAGUCUCGAGUCAGGCAGAAUCAAUACUUUGAUUCCAAAAAUUGGACCAAGAGUAAAGUUUAAAAGGAGACUCAGAGAAUACUUACAGGUAAUGUUUUAUUAAAUGUUACAAAAAAAUCCUGGAAC